GGAAUUUUGAGCAGAGUGACAGUAAAAGAUUCAAGUAAAAUUAUUCAAACUUUGGUAGAAUUCAGUCAUCCAAAUGAUAUUGGAAGCAGUCGGUCAUGGGGCUGCAUGGUAGCAGAUGCAAUUCUAAUUGUAUGAUAAUGCACUGACAAUGAACUUGGUAUGCAGGAUAUGUAUGGGGAACUAUAAGCUGCAAUCUCUUGCAUACAGGCACACAAGGACAUUCUGACAUGAGGAGCCAUUGUGAAAUUGUACGAAGAACAUCUACUGACAGGUGAAAGAUAUCCUGAUUUCUGAGUACCAACAUCACCUUCUGAUCCUUCUGCCGAUGCAACCUUAGCACCAUUGAUUGGA
rnacentral:lncRNA from 1 species